GAGUGAUGUUCUCAUCAAUAACCAAAGACAAGUUUUUACAAAUCACUGGAGCAUAAUUGUUUUAUUUGAUAACCAUAAUAAUUAUUUCGUUGUUCUUUUAGUUUCUUUUUCUAGGUCCAACAAGAUUGAAGUUUAUGUAGUAAUGUAAAUGUUGUGUGCAGAGACACAAAAGCAGGAAGUAUCUUAUUUUAAUUUUUGAAAAAAAUCCAACAAAACAUAACCCCAACAUUUAUCUAUAUCUAUAUCUAUACCUAAUAAUAAAAAAAUAAAAUUUCAGGUUAUUUUUUUGUCCAUCUAUUUUGUCAUUCUCUGCCCCUAACUACCGGUAGGUCGAGAGUUUUCUCAGUCUAGACUUAGACUUAUAUGAACCUAGAUAGUUAGGACAAAUAGAUCUCUCCAAGUCUAAAUAAAUUGAAUAGGAAUAGGAAUCCUAAUUCAAAUAAAAAAUAAUUUAGACAAAAUCUUAUUUUACUUGACUUAUAUGAACCUAGAUAGUUAGGACAAAUAGAUCUCUAUGAGUCUGAAUAAACUAAAUAGAAAUAUAAAUUCUAAUCCAAAUAAAAAAUAAUUUAUACAAAAUCUUAUUUUACUUUCUACAAAGUGUUUCUUUCAAUCUGUUUCAAAAAAAAGUGUUUCUUUCAAUCUGACUUUUUUACCUCCCACGCAGACAUUAAUUAACUGACUAAAAACAAAAUAAAAGAAAAAAGCGUAGGAAAACCAUCGUCCGUAGACAACAUAGAUGCGGCCGAGCGGUGUCCAACGGAGGUCAGUUCAGGCACUUAUCUUUAUUUUCUAUUUUCAAUUAUUUUUUUCCUUUUUGAGUUGUAUUUUUUCUGUUUUUAAUUAUUUUCCCUUUUUGAGUACACAACGGGUCGACCAGAGCAAUUCUAUGCCUACCUAAUGUGUACAUAGGAUUUCUUGAGGUGACCUGCAUAGAUAUGAGUCCUAAUCUAAGGCCUUGUUUAGAUGCAAAAUUUUUUUAAUUUUGACACUAUAGCAUUUUUAUUUGUAUUUGACAAAUAUUGUCUAAUUAUUGACUAAAUAAGCUUAAAAGAUUCGUCUUGCGAUUUACAGGUAAAAUGUACAAUUAGUUAUUUUUUAUCUAUAUUUAAUGUUCCAUACAUGUGUCACAAGAUUCGAUGUGACGAGAAAUCUUGUAAACUUUUAGAAUUUUAGGUGUAUCUAAACAAGGGCUAAAUAGAUCUUUCUGCAUAGUAAGCUGAAUAAAAUCCUAAUUUAUGGCUUAAACACGUUUUUUAAGGUAAGCUGGAUCAUUACAAAUCCAAAUAGAUACUUCCGAUUGUGAGUAAGUUGAAUAGGGAUUCUAAUGCAAAUCUAAAUACAAAAAAUAUCCAUAUAUAUAGAUAUUGAUGUCAACAUCGAAAUCAAGUCGGUUUUCGAAGCGGUAGAGAGUUGUUGACACCGUUUUUGGGACGGGUCAAGUUAGUUGAAGCGAAUCGAUUGGCAAUAGAAAGGUUAUUGUACCAUGGCAGAGGGAUGCCGAUGGGGAUCGACAAAUAAAGAUAGUGCCGAUGAGAAGGGAUGAUCGGUAGAAGAUUUCUGAUGGUUCAGGAUCGGUAUAAGGUCAAAAAUGAUAUUUGCUGAUUGUUACUAUGAUUGCCGAUGCCGAUGGAGGAAGGUGUGGAGGCUGCUGCCGAUGGGGCAGGACUCGAUGAAGAUUUAAGACAGGAGCUGAUGAAGGCUUUGUCGUGGCUAGGGGAGAUAGUUAUUAUUUCUUUUUCUAUAGUUAUUUUAGUAUACUUUAUAUGUAAGAGUCUUAUCUACCUUAUUGGAAUCUUAGUCGUAUUCGGUUGUAGCUCUUGGGGUUAGAGUAUAAAUAUAGACCUAGCAGCAAUGUAAUAGAGAGAUCAAUCAACAUCAAACAAGUUUAUUCCUACUUUUGCAUCUACUUUUCGACGACUUCGUCAACUCGCAUAUUUUUUUCUGUUUACGAGUUCUCAAGGAUUCGGCGAGUUACACUCGAUGAUUUCUCAGGUUUCGCGUGAGUACCUCUUGGCCAUGACAUCCGGGCGCAUCGUUGUUGUCGGGACCAAAGUAUUGAAGUUAUCACCUUUGUCGAUUAAUAGGUCAAAUCGACUGGCACGCCUUA
rnacentral:lncRNA from 1 species